UAACACACUAAUUAUUUCAUACAGCAGUUUAUUUUAUCAGGUUUUUAUGCCGUAUAAUAUAAAACCAUCAGUUUCCGCCACUGUGCGCUUAACGGAUUCAAAUCUCCGAGGAAUAUGAUUGGCUCAUUUCCAGCACGCCUCUCCCGCUGUUGGGAAGACAGACAGGAGAACAAAAUAUCUUAAUAGACUUUGGUUUUGAACGUGAUAACUGAUUAUAUUAUUAUUUAAUAUAUAAAAUUGUAGUAUUAUUUACAUAUUAAAAAGCCAGAACUCAUAAAUAGUAUGUAAAAAUCAAAGUAUGUCUCAUAAACUAAGGAACUCCUUUGCUUAAGCCUCUUGCCACUCCCACCUGUUUGUUUAUAUUCUUGCUCUAACGCUCUUGGACUAAAUCAAGCCCGGCAGCUCUGAGACUCUGAGACAGUGUCCGAUGGCUGUUGGAACUUUCAAUGAGUGCCACAUGGACAAGCAGAGGGGACAGGGCGAUGCACUUUGCUCAUGGAAAAAACCUGCCGGAGCCGAGGCUGCUAAAUGAGAUGCCGUUCAACAUGCACCUGCGGCCCACCGAUAUUUUCUUCCAAAGGUGCCAAAGUGGCCAGACAGACUUCGAUGCAAGAGCGAGAAUCAUUCAGGGGUGCGCCCUGCGAGGGGACAACAUGGCACACCCCCAAAAAGAACCGAAGCGCCUUUUCAUACAGGGUAUGCAAGCCCUGGAACGACCUGCCACCAAGUUUGAAGGACUGUGAUGCACCAAAAUUCCCCACCUUCUGGUGCAAUUUUUAAAGGGAUGACUGUUGGAUGGACUACCUUGUCCGACAACUGAACUCUACCGGUCCACUAGAAGACAAGGAGGGCUCCGAGCCUGGACACAAAAUGCAGCAAAAGGAAUUCGAGGACCGAUGACUCCGCGGUCGUGGCUCUCCUGAAGUGUCCGCGGUGGCUUCGAGUGAGCGGCCGCAGACUCACAGUUGGGUGAACGAAAAGUUCCUCCCCUUUCCGUCGUAAAAUGAACAAGAAAAAGUUCCAGCGUGAAUGUGAAUAUGCUCCGGUGCUUAUUGUGUGGCUGCUCCAUGAUGACAUAAAUUGCGACUUGUUGGACAUUGAAAAAGUCACCAAGCACGUCGCAAAACCUGACAAAACAAGAAUUUUGGUACCGGAAAAUAACUAGGGUUGAAAAAAUCGGUAGAAUUUGGGCUGGCAGCCAGUCUUCGAGCACCGCGAGGCCCAUGCAGAGGCACUUGGAGUCAAGCUGAGGGCUGCGUGGAUCAUUUUAAGAGCCAGGGAGUGCUGGAAAAAAGGAAAAACGCCCGAUUUCGAUGCACCGGUGUCCUGAUGGUGUACACGGCCUUGGAACAUAGCAAAAAGUAUGCUCUAAGUGGUUUUCUUCUGAUUAGGAGUGCUGGAGGCGCACGUCAGAGACAGCCACGCGUGAUGAUGACCACCCUGAAAGAUUGCUCCGGUGCUUUUGAUUGCAAUUACAGACUGAGCAGGAAAAACAAAAAAUGAGCCUGAGACCAUUAUGAUGGUGAAGAGAAAAUUUAUUUACCGAAAUUAAGAAUUAAAUUGAUUCAAAAUGCAUUUUUGCCUAACAAAGGGAGAUUCAGAAUUUUGUUUUGUGCCUAUAAACAUGAGAUUAAAAAUUCUUAAUUUAUAACCAGCCCGUUCGCCCGUUGGCUCGCAUUGUUAAGGCACUCUCAGGAGUGUCAAAGCAAUGGGAGGUAUUUGAGCAGUUGGGAGAUCUAAUACUGGCUACCCAAUGUCAGAAAUGGCAAAAAGUGGUUAGUUUAGUGACUCGAAUCGCUCAAAUUGCUCAACGGGCUGGUUUGCACCUUUCCAGCAUGCGUGAUUUGGCUUCACGGGACGAAUGUCUAGCGUUUCAAUGCAGUCCUCGGUGCGGAGGCAAGUGGCCCUUGAGUGGGCUGGGUCCCUGUGCGGCCUGGUGCGCCCAUUCAAUCCGUUCGCGGUGUUAUUGGGACCCGGGUUUCAGCAUUUGUGCUUCCCGGCACUCGGACAGGGAUAAAAAGAGCAAAAAAAAAUAUUGAGCGUUAAAUUUAAAAAUUUAGAACCUAAAAUUGUCCUCGGCGUAUAUCGCUGUGGCAGUUAGUUACUUCGGACAAAGAGUUGAAUUUAAUAAUUUUAAUUUUACAGUAAUUUUUGCAACACGAAUUUUUGUUUCAUUGUGAGCAGCACGUUAUUCCGUAAUAGACGCAAUAACAAUAACGAUUUACCACCAUUACCCUCCAAUAAUUGAUCCAAAGCUGUUUUUUUC